GACGAACGCUGGCGGCGUGCUUAACACAUGCAAGUCGAACGGAAAGGCCCUGCUUUUGUGGGGUGCUCGAGUGGCGAACGGGUGAGUAACACGUGAGUAACCUGCCCUUGACUUUGGGAUAACUUCAGGAAACUGGGGCUAAUACCGGAUAGGAGCUCCUGCUGCAUGGUGGGGGUUGGAAAGUUUCGGCGGUUGGGGAUGGACUCGCGGCUUAUCAGCUUGUUGGUGGGGUAGUGGCUUACCAAGGCUUUGACGGGUAGCCGGCCUGAGAGGGUGACCGGCCACAUUGGGACUGAGAUACGGCCCAGACUCCUACGGGAGGCAGCAGUGGGGAAUAUUGCACAAGGGGCGGAAGCCUGAUGCAGCAACGCCGCGUGCGGGAUGACGGCCUUCGGGUUGUAAACCGCUUUCGCCUGUGACGAGGCGUGAGUGACGGUAAUGGGUAAAGAAGCACCGGCUAACUACGUG
rnacentral:rRNA from 1 species